CACUCCCCGCUGCUUCUCGACCUAUUCCAAUCGGGAGAGAAAGCGGCGAGCGGUUCUGAAGGCGAGCGGAGCUUUCGAUGGCGAUCGUGCGGCAUCUGAGGGUAUUCUCGUCGGCCGGCGGCUGGAUCGUGGGAGGGAGGCGGCGCUGUUAGAGGCUUCACGACGGAGUCUUCGGAUGGCGCGGGUGCGGCCUCGUCGGCCGGCGGCAACAUCAAGGCAGUCGCGGUUGCGCGAGGCUUUGCGGUAUGGUGGGUGAUCUGCACCCCGGCGAGUGGCCAAUGCGGGGGCUCCCUGGCGUGGUGGGUGGCCUGCAACGCGGCGAGUUGCCCCAACCUCCAGAUCCGUCGAAAUUAUCUGGCCUGGUGGGUGGUCGGCGCGGCUUGCGUCCUGGGGGCGGCGUUGCGUGUGUAUUUGGUAUCCUGGCUCCGUCCGCUCGUGGACGUCAAGGUAUAAUAUGGAACACUCUCCUGAAUCAGCAACUUAUGUCAUGUUCUUGUGGAGACAGUCAACGUUAGCUCAACUUAGCUGGUAAUUUGUUUCCCUCUCUUGAAUAGAUUACAGAACCACCGUAAUGAUAGCUUUUGUCCAUAGAUACGGGAAUCUAGAAACUCUUUGAUGAUGUCCAGUCUUGAUAAGAUUUACCAAAACUACUUCAGUUGAGCAAUAGCAGAACUAAUUUUGAUUUUUGGGUAUGCAAUAUACAGCUUUGAAACUUCAAGCAAUUCUGAGUUUGAAAAAAUGAUUAUUGUUGCAUCAAGCCACAAUGUCUCCAUAGGUCAAUGCUAUUAUACUCCACGUCAUCCUUUUUUUUCAGCAACUCGCUCCAUACACACAUUGCACAAACAGAUGAACACACCUCGAAUUACAUUUAUUCCAACACAGCAGAUGGUAAUUAUGACAGUGUAAUAAUUUAUCUUUAUACAUGUUCAACCGAAAAAUCAUCUUUGCAAGAAAAUAAAUUUAGGUAGAUACUGUGUGUACUGUGUAGUGGUGGUUUGGAUUCAUUCGUAUGUUUCCGUUGAAAGCAUCCACAUAUCUACAAAUAUUUAUUCUACAUCUUCUCUCAUUGUAAUUGAUAUACCUUUCCAAGUUUCAGUGGAUCACUCCUUGUAAUAUUGUUUUUGGGGAAUAGUUAAACGUUUGUUUGCCCUGUCUUUAGCUAGUUUCAAAAGGUCACAUAAAUUCUUUUCCUUGGAGACAUGGUCUGUGUAGUUGUCUUAGAAUUGCUACCCUGAUUUUUGGUCCAAUUUAGAUCUAAUCCUCCUUUGUUUUUCCAGGAAUAAUGUGUAUGGGAAGUGUUGAUCUGGCAGGUCCUUUUAUAAGGAUUUAGCUAAUUUGUUGCAUGUUCGUAUUAUAAUGACGCUCUUUGACUGCAAUUUUUUUGUCAUGUAACCUUUUGGUUUUGUUCUUUCAUAGAUGUUAUUUAAGUACGGACUAGCUAUUUGGUACCAAUCAUCAGUUAAUCGAGUCCAAUGUUCCCUUAAUAAAAGUUUGCUAUUGAUUUGUAUUGGCCUAGCUCAAACACAAAAUUUUAUUUUAUUUUUUCCAUUUGCGGUAUCUGCUCCUUCCAUGGAGGUCCAGUGUUCUACUGGUUUUGUCUACAUUUGUCAGCUAGAGAGAAGUAGUGGUAAUCAAGCAACUUCUUAUUCUUAUGCCGUAUCUGAAAAGUUUCUUAAAUCUUUAACAUGGAAUGCAUAAAUUGGUAUUAUGAUGCUCUAUGCUCUAUUUUUGCUUCAAGAAAGUAAAUGCUGCCAGUAAAAACAUUAUCUUGAGUUUGUUAUAUUGUUAUAUCGCGGACUGUAUUCUAGGCAUUGACUGCCUGGCGAUUGCAGCAGGCAGCUGCAGAUGGGAUUUCGGGGGCUGGCUAGUGGCUGAAGCUGGGGAUUACGGCAGAGGUGAGCGGUUGUAGCUGGAGAUCGCGGCGGGCGGCAACCGGCAAGUGGCUGCAGCUGGGGUUCGUGGCAAGGAGUGAGCGGCGACAGCUGGGGAUAUGGCGGGCUUGAGGCUUGGUGAGCGACGGACGGUGUUGGUACCUACACAAGUGGCAGCGCUGUUGUGGACUCCGCGGCGUGAGGAGCUAAUAUAGCGUGAUGUCGGGCGGCUGGGCGUUUGGUGGCUGCGGGCGGCGCUGGGUUGCAUCGGCGUCGUGGUGAGCAAGGGCAGCCCCAGCACUGCCGUGGGCAUAGCACGCAGGUGGGCUUCGAACUGAAGCUGCUGAUGUGAAACAAGUCGGCCGUGAACAAGUGAUAUGAAGUUAACAUGGAUGGCAUUAUAUAGUUUCUUUUGUCCAAAUUUAACAUGGCUCAUGUGUGAGCAAGUAUCACUAAUUUGAAUUCCGUACAUACUAUUCAUUCCAUGUAAAUCACUGAGUUCACUGAGUUUUUAAGUACCAUUGACUUUGAAUGCAUGGUAGCAUUUGGCCU